rnacentral:lncRNA from 1 species
AUGUCAUCAAGCAGAAACACAAGGGUUAACAAACAGCAUUAGUGAGACACCCUGCAAGAAGUGAAACAUUAGCCCAAUAGACAGCAGCAAGACCCAGUGGGAUCACACCGGCAGCUCUACAGCACUGUUGUGAGUUUUCCUGGCUGUAUGGUUGCCCUCCAUAGCCUGUAAGCCACCAUGACGAGACAUUAUGGUUCAUCUGUCCUGGGAAGGUGACCUUUUGAGAACUACUGGUCUACAAACCGCAAACCACAAGAUUUUUGUAUCCUAUUUGAGAUAUGGCUCCAGCUCUCAUCUACCUUGAAGACCAGAUAUGAGUCCAGUGAAUAAUCACGCCUCAGGUACUAAAUCACUAAUGCUGUCUCACUCUGUGUUCAACAGAUAAAAUUAUACUAAAGACCAGGCAAGGGAGAUGCAUUUUAACUAG